AUUGAACGCUGGCGGCAGGCCUAACACAUGCAAGUCGAACGGUAGCACAGAGAGCUUGCUCUCGGGUGACGAGUGGCGGACGGGUGAGUAAUGUCUGGGGAUCUGCCCGAUAGAGGGGGAUAACCACUGGAAACGGUGGCUAAUACCGCAUAACGUCGCGAGACCUAAGAGGGGGACCUUCGGGCCUCUCACUAUCGGACGAACUCAGAUGGGGUUAGCUAGUAGGCGGGGUAAUGGCCCACCUAGGCGACGAUCCCUAGCUGGUCUGAGAGGAUGACCAGCCACACUGGAACUGAGACACGGUCCAGACUCCUACGGGAGGCAGCAGAGGGAAAUAUUGCACAAUGGGCGCAAGCCUGAUGCAGCCAUGCCGCGUGUAUGAAGAAGGCCUUCGGGUUGUAAAGUACUUUCAGCGGGGAGGAAGGCGAUGUGGUUAAUAACCUUGUCGAUUGACGUUACCCGCAGAAGAAGCACCGGCUAACUCCGUGCCAGCAGCCGCUGUAA
rnacentral:rRNA from 1 species